rnacentral:lncRNA from 1 species
AAGGGGGUAAUUUUUCUAUUAGAGAACAUUAGUAACAUUCUAACACUAGUAUAUUGAGUAGCUACUAGCUACGUGGGAGAACAUUAAUAAUUUUUGAGAACAUGCAUAAUCUCAUAAGUAGGUGGAUCUUUCCUAGUUAACUUUCUCUUCCUAACAAUAUUUAUUAGGUGUAUUCUGUUCAAACCCAAUGUUUAUUAGGUGUAUUCCCUUAAUUUUUUCUUGUUGGUCCUUCCUAAAUUACUAAGGUUUUAACUUGUCAAUUGCUGUUUUGCCACUUGUUUUUCAGUCAAAGAACACAUUUUUUGUUCUCACCUAGCCCAACUGGGUAUUCACC